GACGUAGGGGGCUAGCGUUGUCCGGAAUCAUUGGGCGUAAAGAGCGUGUAGGCGGUCCGGUAAGUCCGCUGUGAAAGUCGGGGGCUCAACCCUCGAAUGCCGGUGGAUACUGUCGGGCUAGAGUGCGGAAGAGGCGAGUGGAAUUCCUGGUGUAGCGGUGAAAUGCGCAGAUAUCAGGAGGAACACCUAUUGCGAAGGCAGCUCGCUGGGACGUAACUGACGCUGAGACGCGAAAGCGUGGGGAGCGAACAGG
rnacentral:rRNA from 1 species